GACGAACGCUGGCGGCGUGCUUAACACAUGCAAGUCGAACGGUGAACCGGGCUUCGGCCCGGGGAUCAGUGGCGAACGGGUGCGUAACACGUGGGCAACCUGCCCCUCACUCUGGGAUAACCCCGGGAAACCGGAGCUAAUACCGGAUACUCCCUACCGAUCGCAUGGUUGGUCGGGGAAAGGUCCGCCGGUGAGGGAUGGGCCCGCGGCCUAUCAGCCUGUUGGUGGGGUAACGGCCUACCAAAGCGACGACGGGUAGCUGGUCUGAGAGGACGACCAGCCACACUGGGACUGAGAUACGGCCCAGACUCCUACGGGAGGCAGCAGUGGGGAAUCUUGCGCAAUGGGCGAAAGCCUGACGCAGCGACGCCGCGUGGGGGAUGAAGGCCCUAGGGUUGUAAACCCCUUUCGGCAGGGACGAAGCGAUCGUGACGGUACCUGCAGAAGAAGCCUCGGCUAACUACGUGCCAGCCGCCGCGGUAACAC
rnacentral:rRNA from 1 species